GACGAACGCUGGCGGCGUGCUUAACACAUGCAAGUCGAACGAUGAAGCCCAGCUUGCUGGGUGGAUUAGUGGCGAACGGGUGAGUAACACGUGGGCAACCUGCCCCAAACUCUGGGAUAACUCCUCGAAAGAGGUGCUAAUACCGGAUACGAACUAGACAGACAUCUGUACUAGUUGGAAAGUUUUUCGGUUUGGGAUGGGCCCGCGGCCUAUCAGCUUGUUGGUGAGGUAACGGCUCACCAAGGCUACGACGGGUAACCGGCCUGAGAGGGCGACCGGUCACACUGGGACGGAGACACGGCCCAGACUCCUACGGGAGGCAGCAGUGGGGAAUAUUGCGCAAGGGGCGAAAGCCUGACGCAGCGACGCCGCGUGAGGGAUGAAGGUCCUCGGAUCGUAAACCUCUUUCAGUAGGGACGAAGCGAAAGUGACGGUACCUAAAGAAGAAGCACCGGCUAACUACGUGCCAGCCGCCGCCGUAA
rnacentral:rRNA from 1 species